CGGGGGCUCCGCAAGGAGCAACCGGCGAACGGGUGCGUAACACGUGAACAACCUGCCCUCGUGUGGGGGAUAGCCGGGCUAACGCCCGGGUAAUACCGCAUACGUUCCUCUGGGGGAGUCCCCGGGGGAGGAAAGCUCCGGCGCACGGGGAGGGGUUCGCGGCCUAUCAGCUAGUUGGCGGGGUAACGGCCCACCAAGGCGACGACGGGUAGCUGGUCUGAGAGGAUGGCCAGCCACAUUGGGACUGAGAGACGGCCCAGACUCCUACGGGAGGCAGCAGUGGGGAAUCUUGCGCAAUGGUCUAACGACUGACGCAGCGACGCCGCGUGUGGGAGGACGCCUUUCGGGGUGUAAACCACUGUUGCCCGGGACGAACUGGCGGAUUUGUCCGCCGUGACGGUACCGGGUGAGGAAGCACCGGCUAACUCCGUGCCAGCAGCCGCGGUAAUACGGAGGGUGCGAGCGUUG
rnacentral:rRNA from 1 species